AGUGGGGAAUCUUGGACAAUGGGGGCAACCCUGAUCCAGCCAUGCCGCGUGAGUGAUGAAGGCCUUAGGGUCGUAAAGCUCUUUCGCCUGUGAAGAUAAUGACGGUAGCAGGUAAAGAAACCCCGGCUAACUCCGUGCCAGCAGCCGCGGUAAUACGGAGGGGGUUAGCGUUGUUCGGAAUUACUGGGCGUAAAGCGCACGUAGGCGGAUCGGAAAGUUGGGGGUGAAAUCCCGGGGCUCAACCCCGGAACUGCCUCCAAAACUAUCGGUCUAGAGUUCGAGAGAGGUGAGUGGAAUUCCGAGUGUAGAGGUGAAAUUCGUAGAUAUUCGGAGGAACACCAGUGGCGAAGGCGGCUCACUGGCUCGAUACUGACGCUGAGGUGCGAAAGUGUGGGGAGCAAA
rnacentral:rRNA from 1 species